rnacentral:rRNA from 1 species
UAAGCGGAGGAAAAGAAACCAACAGGGAUUGCCUUAGUAACGGCGAGUGAAGCGGCAAAAGCUCAAAUUUGAAAUCUGGCACCUUCGGUGUCCGAGUUGUAAUUUGAAGAAGGUAACUUUGGAGUUGGCUCUUGUCUAUGUUCCUUGGAACAGGACGUCACAGAGGGUGAGAAUCCCGUGCGAUGAGAUGCCCAAUUCUAUGUAAAGUGCUUUCGAAGAGUCGAGUUGUUUGGGAAUGCAGCUCUAAGUGGGUGGUAAAUUCCAUCUAAAGCUAAAUAUUGGCGAGAGACCGAUAGCGAACAAGUACAGUGAUGGAAAGAUGAAAAGAACUUUGAAAAGAGAGUGAAAAAGUACGUGAAAUUGUUGAAAGGGAAGGGCUUGAGAUCAGACUUGGUAUUUUGCGAUCCUUUCCUUCUUGGUUGGGUUCCUCGCAGCUUACUGGGCCAGCAUCGGUUUGGAUGGUAGGAUAAUGACUAAGGAAUGUGGCUCUACUUCGGUGGAGUGUUAUAGCCUUGGUUGAUACUGCCUGUCUAGACCGAGGACUGCGUCUUUUGACUAGGAUGUUGGCAUAAUGAUCUUAAGCCACCCGUCUUGAAACACGGACC